CUUGUUCAGUUCAUAUAUCCAAAAAGAAGAAUGGGAGGAAACAAAAUGGUUCCUCGUCCAUCCUGUUCACUAAAUUUCAUGUACCACUCGAUCGGUUCAAGCGCUUUCAUGACCUUCAGUGUUGCACUGGAGGUUUCAAAAACACCUAAUAUCAACAUAAAUCAAGGACAAAGAUGAAGGCUCAAAAACCAGAGAAAAAAGUUACAUUCCUCGUCUCCAAUAGGAGGGAAAUCAAUGCCUUGACAACAGCAUAAUUUUCACAACAAAACAACAAACAUCACAAAUGGUGUGACCUAUAUUCUCAGCUGCGUACAACCAAGAAUUGUACCACGGCACUUUGUCAUUGGAGCUGCCUGUCGCCAAGUUGGUCUCUCACCCCCAACUGUCAAGAUAUC
rnacentral:misc_RNA from 1 species